rnacentral:other from 1 species
GGUUCUCUGCCGUGUGCGAGGCGGGUCGGAUAAGCUCCGAUCCAACACCGAACGACAGGGAGCCGGACUCCGGCCGUUGGUGGCGCCCGCGGCAUUGGUGAUGCCGGUUGAAGCCCAGGCGGUCGGGAGGCACCCACCUGCGAGGGCAGGGUUCGGGAGCUUCGUCCCGUACGGCACGGCGGAGAACAG